rnacentral:rRNA from 1 species
AUUGAACGCUGGCGGCAGGCCUAACACAUGCAAGUCGAGCGAGCGGCGGACGGGUGAGUAAUGUAUGGGGACUGCACGAUAGAGGGGGAUAACUACUGGAAACGGUGGCUAACACCGCAUAAUAUCGGAUAACCAAUAUGGGAUUAGCUAGUAGGCGGGGUAAAGGCUCACCUAGGCGACUCUCUCUAGCUGGUCUGAGAGGAUGAUCAGACACACUGGGACUGAGACACGGCCCAGACUCCUACGGAGGCAGCAGGGGGGAAUAUGGCACAAGGGGCGCAAGCCUGAUGCAGCCAUGCCGCGUGUAUGAAGAAGGCCUUAGGGUUGUAAAGUACUUUCAGCGGGGAGGCGUUACCCACAGAAGAGGCACCGGCUAACUCCGUGCCAGCAGCCGCGGGAAUAC